rnacentral:rRNA from 1 species
GUGCCAGCAGCCGCGGUAAUACCGGCAGCUCAAGUGAUGUCCGAUAUUAUUGGGCCUAAAGCGUCCGUAGCUGGCCGAGCAAGUCCCUCGGGAAAUCCACCCGCCCAACGGGUGGGCGUCCGGUAGAAACUGGACGGCUUGGGACCGGAAGGCUCAGAGAGUACGUCCGGGGUAGGAGUGAAAUCCCGUAAUCCCGGACGGACUACCGAUGGCGAAAGCACUCCGAGAAGACGGCUUCGACAGUGAGGGACGAAAGCCCGGGUCUCAAACCGGAUUAGAUACCCGAGUAGUCC